AUACGGAGGGUGCAAGCGUUAUCCGGAAUCAUUGGGUUUAAAGGGUCCGCAGGCGGUCAAUUAAGUCAGAGGUGAAAUCCCGUAGCUCAACUACGGAACUGCCUUUGAUACUGGUUGACUUGAGUCAUCUGGAAGUAGAUAGAAUGUGUAGUGUAGCGGUGAAAUGCAUAGAUAUUACACAGAAUACCGAUUGCGAAGGCAGUCUACUACGAAUGUACUGACGCUGAGGGACGAAAGCGUGGGGAGCGAACAGGAUUAGAUACCCUUGUAGUCC
rnacentral:rRNA from 1 species